UCCAGCUGUCUGGCUCGGGGCGCGGCGGCCCCCGGCAGGCGGGUCUGGCCCCAGCCCAGCUGCCCGGGGGUCUCCUGCCUUCUCGUUCAGGCGUCUCUGUCUGGGACUCGCCACGUCCUAGCAGCAGGAAUCAAUUGACGGUCAGCGGGGCCUCCCUACGCUAUCUCCGUAACGCCCCUCCGGCACGCGCCCCGACCUGCCUUAAACCGUUUGGGGAAUAGCGACCAGCUCUAUAGGAACAGCGCAACCCGUCCCACCGGUAUCUGCGUAACUUCCGAUUUACCCUAGACUGGCUCCGGUCGCGCAGCCAGAAUACAGCAGUAGCCGCGGAGUACGGCAACCAGCUUGCAUGUACCAACAGAGGAAUAGAGAGAGGGGGAACACGAAUGUACCACUAGGGAGAGGGGUAUAAGACUGCAUCCUUUGGAGAUGAGGGAUAGUCCAGGAGGUGCACGUAGAUCAGGGCUCUCGUAGCAGUCUGUUCCUGUGCCCCCAGGGCUGGAUUUAGGGGCAGGUGACCACCUGGGGUGCCACGUUUGGGGAGAGCGGGGGGUGCCAGGCUCUGAUUGCUGUGCCAGUCAAGGAGCUAUAAGAAUGAAGUGAUGUGAGACGACUCAAGCCCAGCUGCGGUAUUGUGAACCUUGUGUAAUUGUGAAAGUGUACUUGCAUUUUAAGAUUUGAAGAGUAUAAGUAGCGACUAAUAAAGGACAUAUUUAAUGAGAUGCCAGAGAUAGCUACUGAACCACUAUCUACGCUGUGCUUCAAUUCGGGAGGACAAAGCAUCUGGUCUUCAGAGCCGAUCAGUUGCUGGUAUGCAUGUGCCCUCAGUGAUAAGUAUACAUUGUGUGGAGGCAUCAGCAUCAAAGGAGUUCAUAUAAGAUGGGGAGGGUCCUCCAAUUCAACCAAUUGUACCCUGCUAUAACAAAUACCACACAGGCAGCUUUCAAACCAUGUUCUGCGGGAACGACCUCUAGGGAUAACUGGAGUUCAGUCUCUAUGGUCCAUUCCAUCACUGGACUCUAUGGCCCAUUCCAUCACUGGACUCUAAUGAUACUACCAGUUAGAGAUAACUGAACAAUUAGUUUUAUGAUAUUGACUCCUGCCUGCAAAAAUACAAAACAAAAACAAAACUACAACACACUUGCCCUGCAAAGUCAUUUCACUUAAGGAGCCAAAGAGGCAUCAAUUGGUAAUUACUUCUAGCCAGUACAGAGCUGAGAUUGAUUCAAACUGCCAAAUGAGAGGUGAAACAGUCAGUUUAGAAGUGAAAGUCUGUUCCUUAUUCCCAAUCCUUUGAGCCAUCUGGCUUCCCAUGUAUUUUUGUAUUGGGGUGGGGGUGUAUAAAUGGGGGUUGGAUUAAUAAAGAGCUGUGGCUCAGGCCCAAGAAGAGAUAAAACGUUAAUAAAAACCUUGUUUACUUCUACAAACAUUACAAAGUUGGGGUUCAACAUUGUGUGAUAUGUUAGCAAUAGCUUACCCCUAUUGUAACAACCACCAUUAGUAACUUUUUCUUAAACAUGUAGAAAGAAGGGGGUGGGGGGAGAGUUAAUGCAUGUGAAACUUAAAAAGUGAAAU